UACGGAGGGGGCUAGCGUUGUUCGGAAUUACUGGGCGUAAAGCGCACGUAGGCGGCUUUACAAGUCAGGGGUGAAAGCCCGCGGCUCAACCCCGGAAUUGCCUUUAAGACUGCAUCGCUUGAACGUCGGAGAGGUGAGUGGAAUUCCGAGUGUAGAGGUGAAAUUCGUAGAUAUUCGGAAGAACACCAGUGGCGAAGGCGGCUCACUGGACGACUGUUGACGCUGAGGUACGAAAGCGUGGGGAGCAAACAGG
rnacentral:rRNA from 1 species